GCCUGGGAUGUAGCUCAGUCGGUAGAGUGUGAGCCUCUUAAUCUCCGGGUUGUAUGUUCGAGCCCCACGCUGGGCA